UGGCGGACGGGUGAGUAAUGUCUGGGAAACUGCCCGAUGGAGGGGGAUAACUACUGGAAACGGUAGCUAAUACCGCAUAACGUCGCAAGACCAAAGAGGGGGACCUUAGGGCCUCUUGCCAUCGGAUGUGCCCAGAUGGGAUUAGCUAGUAGGUGGGGUAACGGCUCACCUAGGCGACGAUCCCUAGUUGGUCUGAGAGGAUGACCAGCCACACUGGAACUGAGACACGGUCCAG
rnacentral:rRNA from 1 species